AGGGCCAUGAAGCGGUGACAACUGUGACGAUGACGAUCGAAGAUUCACCAAGGCGGCGACGAUGACGAUCGAAGAUUCACCAAGGCCAUGAGGCAGUGACGAUUGAUACCAUAUUGAAUCUUAACUUUCAGAGAACUCAGAGAUGUAAAAAAUAUCUUCUUCUCAUUUACUUUUGUUACUGAUCAAUACACUUACAUCAGUAUAUAUAGACACAAUUCUAUUGACAUAAUUGACCUCAACAUACAGCAGCUAAUUACACAUUUACCCUUUGUCUAACUAACUCCAACUAUACAAUUACUACUAGGCUCUUUAGUUUCUUGGUAGUUUCUUUUUUUGUUGGUUGUUUGAAAGCACUGAAAUUUUAAAUUUUAAUGUGGAGAUUUUGAGUUGUGGAGGAGACCCUUUUGAGAUUAGGGUUUAAUAUCUUCGUUAACACUCAUUUUUCUUAUAUGAAUUUAUAUUAUCAUAAACUCUAAUAUCUUCACUUUUUUUGUUGCUUUGCUAUUUCAGGACAAUUUACCUGUACGCUACUGAUGAAAGAUAGAAAGGACUCCUUCAACAUGGAACAUAGAAAUGUGAUUAGAGUUCCUGCAGGGCUUCUAUUUACUUAAUUAACAAUAACAAUGAUGAACCUCUUCACAUUGCAAAAGCUCAUCCGUUCUAUUAACAGUUCUGGACGAUUUGAGGUAACUAAGAUCAUCACUUCAUUUCAUCAAUAUUAGUUUUGGUAAUUUAUAUUUUUAUUUGUUUGAGCAAUUAAGUACCUACAAAUCCAAUUAAAUUUUCAAACAAAAACUUGAAUUUUGUUUUAGUUUUAAUAUUUGGGGUUGGUAAUUUAUGUCAUUGCUUUAAUUUAUGCAUGAAUUCUGCCCUGCUGGUUUUGGAAAUCCCAAGUCAUACUUCAACAUUUCAGCGAUGACAUUAUUGAAUCUGCCUUCAAUACCCCAAGAAAAGAGCCAAUAGCAGGACUUUAGACAACAAAGGGGCAAACAAAGGGGUCAAGGCAUAGUCAUGAGCUCCCCAAAAGAGCAACUUGAAGCACUAUUUGACUAAUCACCUAGGAUUGGUACCUGUAACCACUGCACAUGUAUAGUUUCUUUUUAUAUUACCUUGAAUUGAUGACAAAUAGUGCUUUUUUUCUCUGCCA